rnacentral:rRNA from 1 species
UACGUAUGGAGCAAGCGUUAUCCGGAUUUACUGGGUGUAAAGGGAGUGUAGGCGGCACUAUAAGUCUGAUGUGAAAACCUAAGGCUUAACCAUAGGAUUGCAUUGGAAACUGUAGAGCUGGAGUAUCGGAGAGGCAAGCGGAAUUCCUGGUGUAGUGGUGAAAUACGUAGAUAUCAGGAAGAACAUCGGUGGCGAAGGCGGCUUGCUGGACGAUAACUGACGCUAAGGCUCGAAAGCGUGGGAAGCGAACAGG